UCCUCCCUCUGGCGUCGUGCUUAACACAUGCAAGUCGAACGGAAAGGCCCUGCUUGCAGGGUACUCGAGUGGCGAACGGGUGAGUAACACGUGGGUGAUCUGCCCUGCACUUCGGGAUAAGCCUGGGAAACUGGGUCUAAUACCGGAUAGGAGCCAUUUUUAGUGUGAUGGUUGGAAAGUUUUUUCGGUGUAGGAUGAGCUCGCGGCCUAUCAGCUUGUUGGUGGGGUAAUGGCCUACCAAGGCGGCGACGGGUAGCCGGCCUGAGAGGGUGGACGGCCACAUUGGGACUGAGAUACGGCCCAGACUCCUACGGGAGGCAGCAGUGGGGAAUAUUGCACAAUGGGCGCAAGCCUGAUGCAGCGACGCCGCGUGGGGGAUGACGGCCUUCGGGUUGUAAACUCCUUUCGCUAGGGACGAAGCUUUUUGUGACGGUACCUAGAUAAGAAGCACCGGCUAACUACGUG
rnacentral:rRNA from 1 species